AUUGAACGCUGGCGGCAUGCCUUACACAUGCAAGUCGAACGGCAGCGGACCUUCGGGUGCCGGCGAGUGGCGAACGCGUGAGUAAUGUAUCGGAACGUACCUUUCAGUGGGGGAUAACGUAGCGAAAGUUACGCUAAUACCGCAUAUUCUGUGAGCAGGAAAGCAGGGGAUCGCAAGACCCUGCGCUGAUUGGGCGGGCGAUAUCAGAUUAGCUAGUUGGUGAGGUAAAGGCUCACCAAGGCGACGAUCUGUAGCGGGUCUGAGAGGAUGAUCCGCCACACUGGAACUGAGACACGGUCCAGACUCCUACGGGAGGCAGCAGUGGGGAAUUUUGGACAAUGGGGGCAACCCUGAUCCAGCCAUGCCGCGUGAGUGAAGAAGGCCUUCGGGUUGUAAAGCUCUUUCGUCCGGGAAGAAAUCGCAUCAGCUAAUACCUGGUGUGGAUGACGGUACCGGAAUAAGAAGCACCGGCUAACUACGUGCCAGCCGCCGCCGUAAAAC
rnacentral:rRNA from 1 species